UACGAAGGGGGCUAGCGUUGCUCGGAAUGACUGGGCGUAAAGGGCGCGUAGGCGGCCUUCUAAGUCGGACGUGAAAUCCCUCGGCUUAACCGAGGAACUGCGUCCGAUACUGAAAGGCUUGAAUCCGGGAGAGGGAUGCGGAAUUCCAGGUGUAGCGGUGAAAUGCGUAGAUAUCUGGAGGAACACCGGUGGCGAAGGCGGCAUCCUGGACCGGUAUUGACGCUGAGGCGCGAAAGCCAGGGGAGCAAACGGG
rnacentral:rRNA from 1 species